AUUAUUGGGCGUAAAGCGAGCGCAGGCGGUUUGAUAAGUCUGAUGUGAAAGCCUUUGGCUUAACCAAAGAAGUGCAUCGGAAACUGUCAGACUUGAGUGCAGAAGAGGACAGUGGAACUCCAUGUGUAGCGGUGGAAUGCGUAGAUAUAUGGAAGAACACCAGUGGCGAAGGCGGCUGUCUGGUCUGCAACUGACGCUGAGGCUCGAAAGCAUGGGUAGCGAACAGGAUUAGAUACCCUGGUAGUCCAUGCCGUAAACGAUGAGUGCUAGGUGUUGGAGGGUUUCCGCCCUUCAGUGCCGCAGCUAACGCAUUAAGCACUCCGCCUGGGGAGUACGACCGCAAGGUUGAAACUCAAAGGAAUUGACGGGGGCCCGCACAAGCGGUGGAGCAUGUGGUUUAAUUCGAAGCUACGCGAAGAACCUUACCAGGUCUUGACAUCUUGCGCCAACCCUAGAGAUAGGGCGUUUCCUUCGGGAACGCAAUGACAGGUGGUGCAUGGUCGUCGUCAGCUCGUGUCGUGAGAUGUUGGGUUAAGUCCCGCAACGAGCGCAACCCUUGUUACUAGUUGCCAGCAUUCAGUUGGGCACUCUAGUGAGACUGCCGGUGACAAACCGGAGGAAGGUGGGGACGACGUCAGAUCAUCAUGCCCCUUAUGACCUGGGCUACACACGUGCUACAAUGGACGGUACAACGAGUCGCGAACUCGCGAGGGCAAGCUAAUCUCUUAAAACCGUUCUCAGUUCGGACUGCAGGCUGCAACUCGCCUGCACGAAGUCGGAAUCGCUAGUAAUCGCGGAUCAGCAUGCCGCGGUGAAUACGUUCCCGGGCCUUGUACACACCGCCCGUCACACCAUGAGAGUUUGCAACACCCAAAGUCGGUGGGGUAACCCUUCGGGGAGCUAGCCG
rnacentral:rRNA from 2 species